UACAGAGGUCUCAAGCGUUGUUCGGAUUCAUUGGGCGUAAAGGGUGCGUAGGCGGCGCGGUAAGUCGGGUGUGAAAUUUCGAGGCUUAACUUCGAAACUGCAUUCGAUACUGCGUGCUUGAGGACUGGAGAGGAGACUGGAAUUUACGGUGUAGCAGUGAAAUGCGUAGAGAUCGUAAGGAAGACCAGUGGCGAAGGCGGGUCUCUGGACAGUUCCUGACACUGAGGCACGAAGGCCAGGGGAGCAAACGGG
rnacentral:rRNA from 1 species